GCCGAGGUGGCGAAACUAGAAAACGCACAGGACUUAAAAUCCUGCGGGUGUAUAACCCUUGCGGGUGCAAUUCCCGCCCUCGGCA
rnacentral:tRNA from 1 species